UGUUUCCUGAUGUCUGUUUUUAGGCUGGUGAAUGUAAAUAUUCUUAGCUGUAAGAUGCACCUUUAUACUUUAAUACAUGUUUAUUUUAGUCAUAAUAUUUAUUUUCAUUUUCCAUCAUCCUUAGUAAUUUGAAUUAUCUUGGUGAAGCUCUACAGGAGCUUGAUGAGGACCUUGACGAUGACAGUCAAUUGUUUCCUGGCAGUGAAAAAGACAUGUUCUACUGGGAAGAAAAAUCUGGGGAUGAAAGAGAGGCCAUGGGUUAUUCUGGAACAUCUGAUGAGGACCAGUCAGCAUUGCCAUCAAAAUUUUUGAAAGCGCCGUGUUUGCAAAACACAAUUUCUUCGCCCACAACACUUGUUCUCUAUGUCUUGCGGCAUUGUACGACAGCAACUACAUUUGCACCAUUCUGGAACUGGCUCGUGGUCAAUAGGUUGAGCACUUGCGCAUGGCACAUUAAGAGGUAAGG